GACGAACCGUGCGAACGUUGUUCGGAAUCACUGGGCUUAAAGGGCGCGUAGGCGGGCUGCCGAGUCCGGGGUGAAAUCCUCUGGCUUAACCAGAGAACGGCCCCGGGUACUGGCGGCCUCGAGGGGGGUAGGGGCGUGCGGAACUAUGGGUGGAGCGGUGAAAUGCGUUGAUAUCCAUAGGAACUCCGGUGGCGAAGGCGGCACGCUGGACCCCGUCUGACGCUGAGGCGCGAAAGCCAGGGGAGCGAACGGG
rnacentral:rRNA from 1 species